GUCGGUCGGACGAUAGCGCGGCAAUUGCCUCGAGGAAAGUCCGGGCACCGCAGAGCAAGAGCGCCGGCUAACUACCGGUGGAGGCGACUUCAAGGAAAGUGCAACAGAAAUAGACAUCGCGGAAACGCGUUAAGGUGGAAACGUGAGGUAAAAGCUCACGGGCGGUCCGGCGACGGUCCGCUCCUGUAAACCCCGCUCGGUGCAAGAUCGGGACGCUAAAGCCUGCUCGGCUGUCCCUUAUUUCGCUGGAACCGGCUGGCAACAGUCGGUCGAGAUAGAUUAUCGUCGAAUACAGAACUCGGCUUACAGACCGGA
rnacentral:RNase_P_RNA from 1 species